rnacentral:misc_RNA from 1 species
GAAGUGCGAAACGUGUCAUGACUUGCAGAUUCCCGAGAGCUGACGAAUCUCUGAAUGCAAAUGGCGGCCGCUCGACUCGGCCAUGGAUUGCAGAGUGUAGUGGUUCCGACUCCUCAUCCAAUCGUAUGCACGCCAUGCGAUUGCAUCUGCGCUUGCACAACAUCGCGAGCGUGAAACGUCGAGUUAGGGGGCGUCCCUCGUGGAUGACUCUUAACUACGGAUAUCUUCUUUUUGAUACCACCCAUACAUUACACCCCACCUCUGCAAUGCAGGAUUACCCGCUGAACUUAA